GACGAACGCUGGCGGCGUGCUUAACACAUGCAAGUCGAACGGAAAGGCCCGCUUGCGGGUACUCGAGUGGCGAACGGGUGAGUAACACGUGGGCAACCUGCCCUCAGCUCUGGGAUAACUCCGGGAAACCGGUGCUAAUACUGGAUAGGACUUCGCAUCGCAUGGUGUGGGGUGGAAAGUUUUUCGGCUGAGGAUGGGCCCGCGGCCUAUCAGCUUGUUGGUGGGGUAAUGGCCUACCAAGGCGACGACGGGUAGCCGGCCUGAGAGGGCGACCGGCCACACUGGGACGGAGACACGGCCCAGACUCCUACGGGAGGCAGCAGUGGGGAAUAUUGCUCAAUGGGCGAAAGCCUGACGCAGCGACGCCGCGUGAGGGAUGACGGCCUUCGGGUUGUAAACCUCUUUCAGCUCUGACGAAGCGAAAGUGACGGUAGGAGCAGAAGAAGCACCGGCCAACUACGUGCCAGCAGCCGCCGUAAGAC
rnacentral:rRNA from 1 species